rnacentral:rRNA from 1 species
CCGUAACUAUAACGGUCCUAAGGUAGCGAAAUUCCUUGUCGGGUAAGUUCCGACCUGCACGAAUGGCGUAAUGAUGGCCAGGCUGUCUCCACCCGAGACUCAGUGAAAUUGAACUCGCUGUGAAGAUGCAGUGUACCCGCGGCAAGACGGAAAGACCCCGUGAACCUUUACUAUAGCUUGACACUGAACAUUGAGCCUUGAUGUGUAGGAUAGGUGGGAGGCUUUGAAGUGUGGACGCCAGUCUGCAUGGAGCCGACCUUGAAAUACCACCCUUUAAUGUUUGAUGUUCUAACGUGGGCCCCUAAUCGGGGUUGCGGACAGUGUCUGGUGGGUAGUUUGACUGGGGCGGUCUCCUCCUAAAGAGUAACGGAGGAGCACGAAGGUUGGCUAAUCCUGGUCGGACAUCAGGAGGUUAGUGCAAUGGCAUAAGCCAGCUUGACUGCGAGCGUGACGGCGCGAGCAGGUGCGAAAGCAGGUCAUAGUGAUCCGGUGGUUCUGAAUGGAAGGGCCAUCGCUCAACGGAUAAAAGGUACUCCGGGGAUAACAGGCUGAUACCGCCCAAGAGUUCAUAUCGACGGCGGUGUUUGGCACCUCGAUGUCGGCUCAUCACAUCCUGGGGCUGAAGUAGGUCCCAAGGGUAUGGCUGUUCGCCAUUUAAAGUGGUACGCGAGCUGGGUUUAGAACGUCGUGAGACAGUUCGGUCCCUAUCUGCCGUGGGCGCUGGAGAACUGAGGGGGGCUGCUCCUAGUACGAGAGGACCGGAGUGGACGCAUCACUGGUGUUCGGGUUGUCAUGCCAAUGGCACUGCCCGGUAGCUAAAUGCGGAAGAGAUAAGUGCUGAAAGCAUCUAAGCACGAAACUUGCCCCGAGAUGAGUUCUCCCUGAGACUUAGAGUCUCCUGAAGGAACGUUGAAGACGACGACGUUGAUAGGCCGGGUGUGUAAGCGCAGCGAUGCGUUGAGCUAACCGGUACUAAUGAACCGUGAGGCUUAACCUU